UACAGAGGCCCCAAGCAUUAUCCGGAAUCACUGGGCGUAAAGGGUGUGUAGGCGGCAGUAUUAGUCUUUCGUGAAAGAUCUUGGGCUUAACCCAGGAGACGCGGGGGAAACGGUACUGCUUUGAGGACGUAAGAGGUACAGGGAACUCAUGGUGUAGGGGUGAAAUCCGUUGAUAUCAUGGGGAACACCAAAUGCGAAGGCACUGUACUGGUACGCUCCUGACGCUGAAACACGAAAGCGUGGGAAUCGAACGGG
rnacentral:rRNA from 1 species